GGCCAAAUAGAAAAGCAAAAUUUAAGAAAAGGCCAAAUAAGGAAUUCUCUCUUCUCCUAGCCUGUUUCUCGUUCUGUGCUUCCUGAGCGGCGGCGCACACCACCUGUUCGACGGAACACCGCUCCAGAGCUGGAAGCCUCGUCCAUGGCGAGCGGGGUGGAUCGCAUCAGCACCCUCCCAGAUGCCGUCCUCCACCAAGUGCUCCACUUCCUGCCGUCUCAAGAGGUGGUGCGGACGUGCGUGCUCGCCCGGCGCUGGCUCGGCGUCUGGAGGUUCAUGCCCGCCCUCCGCUUCAACGGCGCCAAGGGGUGGGACAGCGCCGACAGGUUCGCCCAGUUCGUGGACCACCUGCUCCACCUCAGAUUCGAGGGCGACGGCAGCGCAUGCGCACCUCUGGAUUCCUGCGAUUUCGACUUCGAUGCCGACGGGUUCAUGCGAUUGCCCACUAAUGAGCAGCAUGCGAGCAACUGGAUCUGGAAAGUCGUCCCCAGUGUCCGGAUGCUCCGGCUUCGUGUGGUCGAGUUUGGGCAGGAACCCUCGCCACUAUCUGAUCUGCAUCUCGUUUCCCAGCACCUCACCAAGUUAGAGCUUGUUGGUGUCGGUGUGAAAGACAGCGUUGUUGAUUUUUCAGGCUGUCCGGCACUGGUGGAGCUGAGUAUGGAUGUUUGCGAUGUUUUUGUCAAACAGCUGCUGUCUCCAUCCUUGAAGCAUCUGCGCAUUACCCGCUGUUAUACCUCUGAGUACACUCGCAUCCUUAUUUCUGUACCCAGUCUUGUUUCUCUCGAGUUGAUCGAAUGCCGUCAAGGAAGGGUCCAUUGCUUGAAAUCUUGCCGCGGUUAGCAAGAGCUGCUGUUGUGCUUACCGAUGAUUGUAUUGAUCGAUGCUCCAAGGGUCGAUUUGAUAAUUGUGGUGCUGAUAUCUGUGAAGAUUGUUGGUAUUAGUAUGGGGAUCCUGAAUAUGGGCCUAUUUAUGACCGCAAUAACAGCAUCUUCCUCAAAGGUUUAUCUGAAGCUACGGACUUGGAGUUAUCAGCUGAUUCGGAUUUGAUUCUUUUCGACAGGGAUUUGAAGUGGUGCCCUACAUUUACCAAGUUGAAGACUUUGUUACUUAAUGAUUGGUGUUUGGCUGCCAACCACAGUGCACUGAUUUGUUUUCUCCAACACUCGCCGAUUUUGGAGAAGCUUACUCUUCAACUUUCUAAGGGACCUUCAUAUGUGACUGAAACAGAAGGAAUGUACAAACCAUUGGGACUGUCAGUUGCAUCCAACUGUCUGAAGAUCGUUGAAAUUAGAUGUGCAAGUGUUGAUAGUAAGGUUCACAGGCUUUUCAAGAUACUGACUACCUAUGGUAUACGCCUUGAGCAAAUUAGGGUCCAACAAACUAGCAAAAUUUCUUCAUCUGGAUGUUUCAAUUUUGUUUGCAGUAGUUUCAGCUAAAACUAGAGGUACGACGUCGGGACGGCCUAUGACAAUAAGUUAGUCAGCCACAUUCUCUCCACGGGAGGAGAGCUACUUCGCCUCAUUGAACAAGCUGCUCAUCAUCGUCCGCAAUCCCUUGCUCUCCAUAGCUGCUUGUCAUCGUUCCAAAGCCAUAUCACUGUGGUUUUGUACUCCAUAUUAGAUCAUUGCAGUAGUGUACGUCUGCUAAACAAUGUUUCUUGGUUCAUGAAAACUUUUGUGCUGAGAAUUAUUCUGAGUUUCUAAUCGACACACUAAAAUUGUUGUGCUAUCGUCUUGUAAAAGGAUGAUGCGCCAAUCCAUAUGUCCGCAUUGGCUUGUUGCUAAGAACCACAGGGCUUAGUUGCUCAGAAAUGGAAGUCCCCAAACGAA